GACGAACGCUGGCGGCGUGCUUAACACAUGCAAGUCGAACGGAAAGGCCCUGCUUUUGUGGGGUGCUCGAGUGGCGAACGGGUGAGUAACACGUGAGUAACCUGCCCUUGACUUUGGGAUAACUUCAGGAAACUGGGGCUAAUACCGGAUAGGAGCUCCUGCUGCAUGGGGGGGGUUGGAAAGUUUCGGCGGUUGGGGAUGGACUCGCGGCUUAUCAGCUUGUUGGUGGGGUAGUGGCUUACCAAGGCUUUGACGGGUAGCCGGCCUGAGAGGGUGACCGGCCGCAUUGGGACUGAGAUACGGCCCAGACUCCUACGGGAGGCAGCAGUGGGGAAUAUUGCACAAUGGGCGGAAGCCUGAUGCAGCAACGCCGCGUGCGGGAUGACGGCCUUCGGGUUGUAAACCGCUUUCGCCUGUGACGAAGCGUGAGUGACGGUAAUGGGUAAAGAAGCACCGGCUAACUACGUG
rnacentral:rRNA from 1 species